CGGAACUGAAAGUCAAGAACAUGAAUUUUGGAAGGAGCAUUACACAAAUAUGAAGGCGGGCUGGAACCUCUCGGGGUUACAGCCUUGCUGAAUUAUUCACCCUUGUCUUUUGCGUACUUCUUGUUUCCUUGGUGGGUUCGCCCACCACUAGGACAAACAUAAACCUUUUGUAAUUGCAAUCAGCGUCAGUAACAAAUUAAUAAUUACAACUUUCAACAACGGAUCUCUUGGUUCUGGCAUCGAUGAAGAACGCAGCGAAAUGCGAUAAGUAGUGUGAAUUGCAGAAUUCAGUGAAUCAUCGAAUCUUUGAACGCACAUUGCGCCCUUUGGUAUUCCAAAGGGCAUGCCUGUUCGAGCGUCAUUUGUACCCUCAAGCUUUGCUUGGUGUUGGGCGUCUUGUCUCUAGCUUUGCUGGAGACUCGCCUUAAAGUAAUUGGCAGCCGGCCUACUGGUUUCGGAGCGCAGCACAAGUCGCACUCUCUAUCAGCAAAGGUCUAGCAUCCAUUAAGCCUUUUUUUCAACUUUUGACCUCGGAUCAGGUAGGGAUACCCGCUGA
rnacentral:rRNA from 1 species